CCUACGGGUGGCAGCAGUGGGGAAUAUUGGACAAUGGGGGCAACCCUGAUCCAGCCAUGCCGCGUGUGUGAAGAAGGCCCUCGGGUUGUAAAGCACUUUCAGUGAGGAAGAACGCCUGGUGGUUAAUACCCAUCAGGAAAGACAUCACUCACAGAAGAAGCACCGGCUAACUCCGUGCCAGCAGCCGCGGUAAUACGGAGGGUGCGAGCGUUAAUCGGAAUUACUGGGCGUAAAGCGCGCGUAGGUGGCUUGAUAAGCCGGUUGUGAAAGCCCCGGGCUCAACCUGGGAACGGCAUCCGGAACUGUCAAGCUAGAGUGCAGGAGAGGAAGGUAGAAUUCCCGGUGUAGCGGUGAAAUGCGUAGAGAUCGGGAGGAAUAACAGUGGCGAAGGCGGCCUUCUGGACUGACACUGACACUGAGGUGCGAAAGCGUGGGUAGCACACAGGAUUAGAUACCCGUGUAGUC
rnacentral:rRNA from 1 species